rnacentral:rRNA from 1 species
UACGUAGGUGGCAAGCGUCGUCCGGAAUUAUUGGGCGUAAAGCGCGCGCAGGCGGUUCCUUAAGUCUGAUGUGAAAGCCCACGGCUCAACCGUGGAGGGUCAUUGGAAACUGGGGAACUUGAGUGCAGGAGAGAAGAGUGGAAUUCCACGUGUAGCGGUGAAAUGCGUAGAGAUGUGGAGGAACACCAGUGGCGAAGGCGACUCUUUGGCCUGUAACUGACGCUGAGGCGCGAAAGCGUGGGGAGCAAACAGG